CGGGGGGGGUGCUAUACAUGCAAGUCGAACGCUUUGUGGUUCAACUGAUUUGAAGAGCUUGCUCAGAUAUGACGAUGGACAUUGCAAAGAGUGGCGAACGGGUGAGUAACACGUGGGAAACCUACCUCUUAGCAGGGGAUAACAUUUGGAAACAGAUGCUAAUACCGUAUAACAAUGACAACCGCAUGGUUGUUAUUUAAAAGAUGGUUCUGCUAUCACUAAGAGAUGGUCCCGCGGUGCAUUAGCUAGUUGGUAAGGUAAUGGCUUACCAAGGCGAUGAUGCAUAGCCGAGUUGAGAGACUGAUCGGCCACAAUGGGACUGAGACACGGCCCAUACUCCUACGGGAGGCAGCAGUAGGGAAUCUUCCACAAUGGGCGAAAGCCUGAUGGAGCAACGCCGCGUGUGUGAUGAAGGGUUUCGGCUCGUAAAACACUGUUGUAAGAGAAGAAUGACAUUGAGAGUAACUGUUCAAUGUGUGACGGUAUCUUACCAGAAAGGAACGGCUAAAUACGUGCCAGCAGCCGCGGUAAUACGUAUGUUCCAAGCGUUAUCCGGAUUUAUUGGGCGUAAAGCGAGCGCAGACGGUUAUUUAAGUCUGAAGUGAAAGCCCUCAGCUCAACUGAGGAAUUGCUUUGGAAACUGGAUGACUUGAGUGCAGUAGAGGAAAGUGGAACUCCAUGUGUAGCGGUGAAAUGCGUAGAUAUAUGGAAGAACACCAGUGGCGAAGGCGGCUUUCUGGACUGUAACUGACGUUGAGGCUCGAAAGUGUGGGUAGCAAACAGGAUUAGAUACCCUGGUAGUCCACACCGUAAACGAUGAGUGCUAGGUGUUUGAGGGUUUCCGCCCUUAAGUGCCGCAGCUAACGCAUUAAGCACUCCGCCUGGGGAGUACGACCGCAAGGUUGAAACUCAAAGGAAUUGACGGGGACCCGCACAAGCGGUGGAGCAUGUGGUUUAAUUCGAAGCAACGCGAAGAACCUUACCAGGUCUUGACAUCCCUUGACAACUCCAGAGAUGGAGCGUUCCCUUCGGGGACAAGGUGACAGGUGGUGCAUGGUUGUCGUCAGCUCGUGUCGUGAGAUGUUGGGUUAAGUCCCGCAACGAGCGCAACCCUUAUUACUAGUUGCCAGCAUUCAGUUGGGCACUCUAGUGAGACUGCCGGUGACAAACCGGAGGAAGGUGGGGAUGACGUCAAAUCAUCAUGCCCCUUAUGACCUGGGCUACACACGUGCUACAAUGGCGUAUACAACGAGUUGCCAACCCGCGAGGGUGAGCUAAUCUCUUAAAGUACGUCUCAGUUCGGAUUGUAGGCUGCAACUCGCCUACAUGAAGUCGGAAUCGCUAGUAAUCGCGGAUCAGCACGCCGCGGUGAAUACGUUCCCGGGUCUUGUACACACCGCCCGUCACACCAUGAGAGUUUGUAACACCCAAAGCCGGUGGGGUAACCUUCGGGAGCCAGCCGUCUAAGGUGACAAAAUUU
rnacentral:rRNA from 1 species